rnacentral:misc_RNA from 1 species
AAGACUAUAGACCUGCGGAGUACCUGCGGAAGGAUCAUUACAGAAUUGUUCGAAUCCAUACGGACACAUUCUUAAAAUCCGUAUCCACACCGGCAGGGCUUUCGGGCCUUUGCCGUAGGGUUCCUCUUUUCUCUUUCUCUGUUAGGGAAGGAGAGGGGGGUUCCUGUCUGACCUUUGCCUAUAAUUUUAAUUUUGUCUGAACUUUUAUUUUAUUAUAAAAUAAAAACAACUUUUAACAAU